AAGACUAUACUUUACAGGAUCAUUUCUGUAGUAGCAUAGUUCUUCCUACUUUCCAAUCUUGGAGAGUCCCAACCCACGAUGAUGAGGAUUUCCCUCUCUUCUGAGCGUGAGGCAGACGAGUUGAUCGGGCCUUGAUCAACUUAGUCAUCGAUGAUCGCAACCCCCUUGGGGGUAAGGAGAGAGGGUUCUCUGAGUGGUU
rnacentral:snoRNA from 1 species